rnacentral:rRNA from 1 species
CGGACGGGUGAGUAACACGUGGAUAACCUACCUAUAAGACUGGGAUAACUUCGGGAAACCGGAGCUAAUACCGGAUAAUAUAUUGAACCGCAUGGUUCGAUAGUGAAAGACGGUUUUGCUGUCACUUAUAGAUGGAUCCGCGCCGCAUUAGCUAGUUGGUAAGGUAACGGCUUACCAAGGCAACGAUGCGUAGCCGACCUGAGAGGGUGAUCGGCCACACUGGAACUGAGACACGGUCCAG